rnacentral:rRNA from 1 species
GAAUUUGAUAUAUUUUUAUUUAUAGAAUUUAUGAAAUAAAAUAAAAAUAAAAGUAUAUUUUAUUGGGAGGAUAGUUAAAUAUUAAUAACUUUAAAUAAAAAUAUUUAAUAUAAAUUAGUAAAUUAAAGAAUGAUUAGUAAAUUAAUUAAGAAUUAAUUACCUUAGGGAUAACAGCGUAAUAUUUUUGGAGAGUUCAUAUUGAUAAAAAUGAUUGC